GCAUAUCAAUAAGCGGAGGAAAAGAAACUAACAAGGAUUCCCUUAGUAACGGCGAGUGAACCGGGAAGAGCUCAAAUUUGAAAUCUGGCUGUCUUCGAUAGUCCGAGUUGUAAUCUAUAGAAGCGUUUUCCGUGCUGAACUGUGUAUAAGUCCCUUGGAACAGGGUAUCAAAGAGGGUGACAAUCCCGUACUUUACACAAUCAUCAGUGCUCUGUGAUACGUUCUCUACGAGUCGAGUUGUUUGGGAAUGCAGCUCAAAAUGGGUGGUAAAUUCCAUCUAAAGCUAAAUAUUGGCGAGAGACCGAUAGCGAACAAGUACCGUGAGGGAAAGAUGAAAAGCACUUUGGAAAGAGAGUUAAACAGUACGUGAAAUUGUUAAAAGGGAAACGAUUGAAGUCAGUCGUGUUUAUUGGAUUCAGCCGGUCUUCGGUGUACUUCCUUUAAACGGGUCAACAUCAGUUUUGUCCGGUGGAUAAAGGCAGUAGGAAUGUGGCUCCCUCGGGAGUGUUAUAGCCUAUUGUCACAUACACUGGAGGAGACUGAGGACUGCAGCUCGCCUUUUGGCCGGGGUUCGCCCACGUUCGAGCUUAGGAUGUUGACAUAAUGGCUUUAAACGACCCGUCUUGAAACACGGACC
rnacentral:rRNA from 1 species